CGGGAGAAUUGCUAGCUUGCUAAUAAUUCUCUAGUGGCGCACGGGUGAGUAACACGUGAGUAACCUGCCCCCAAGAGUGGGAUAGCCCCGGGAAACUGGGAUUAAUACCGCAUAAAAUCGCAAGAUUAAAGCAGCAAUGCGCUUGGGGAUGGGCUCGCGUCCUAUUAGUUAGUUGGUGAGGUAACGGCUCACCAAGGCGAUGACGGGUAGCCGGUCUGAGAGGAUGUCCGGCCACACUGGAACUGAGACACGGUCCAGACACCUACGGGUGGCAGCAGUCGAGAAUCAUUCACAAUGGGGGAAACCCUGAUGGUGCGACGCCGCGUGGGGGAAUGAAGGUCUUCGGAUUGUAAACCCCUGUCAUGUGGGAGCAAAUUAAAAAGAUAGUACCACAAGAGGAAGAGACGGCUAACUCUGUGCCAGCAGCCGCGGUAAUACAGAGGUCUCAAGCGUUGUUCGGAAUCACUGGGCGUAAAGCGUGCGUAGGCGGUUUCGUAAGUCGUGUGUGAAAGGCGGGGGCUCAACCCCCGGACUGCACAUGAUACUGCGAGACUAGAGUAAUGGAGGGGGAACCGGAAUUCUCGGUGUAGCAGUGAAAUGCGUAGAUAUCGAGAGGAACACUCGUGGCGAAGGCGGGUUCCUGGACAUUAACUGACGCUGAGGCACGAAGGCCAGGGGAGCGAAAGGGAUUAGAUACCCCUGUAGUCCUGGCAGUAAACGGUGCACGCUUGGUGUGCGGGGAAUCGACCCCCUGCGUGCCGGAGCUAACGCGUUAAGCGU
rnacentral:rRNA from 1 species